rnacentral:rRNA from 1 species
UACGGAGGGUGCAAGCGUUAUCCGGAUUCACUGGGUUUAAAGGGUGCGUAGGAGGGCAGGUAAGUCCGUGGUGAAAUCUCUGAGCUUAACUCAGAAACUGCCGUGGAUACUAUCUGUCUUGAAUCCCGUGGAGAUGAGCGGAAUAUGUCAUGUAGCGGUGAAAUGCUUAGAUAUGACAUAGAACACCAAUUGCGAAGGCAGCUCGUUACACGAAGAUUGACUCUGAGGCACGAAAGCGUGGGGAUCAAACAGG